rnacentral:rRNA from 1 species
GGCUCAGGAUGAACGCUAGCUACAGGCUUAACACAUGCAAGUCGAGGGGCAGCAUGAAACUUAGCUUGCUAAGUUUGAUGGCGACCGGCGCACGGGUGAGUAACACGUAUCCAACCUACCGUUUACUACGGGAUAGCCUUCUGAAAAGGAGAUUAAUACCGUAUGGUAUUCUAAAGUUUCAUGACAUUAGAAUUAAAGGUUUACCGGUAAUCGAUGGGGAUGCGUUCCAUUAGAUAGUAGGCGGGGUAACGGCCCACCUAGUCAGCGAUGGAUAGGGGUUCUGAGAGGAAGGUCCCCCACAUUGGAACUGAGACACGGUCCAAACUCCUACGGGAGGCAGCAGUGAGGAAUAUUGGUCAAUGGGCGAGAGCCUGAACCAGCCAAGUAGCGUGAAAAGGAUGACUGCCCUAUGGGUUGUAAACUUCUUUUAUAAAGGAAUAAAGUGGUCCACGUGUGGAUUUUUGUAUGUACUUUAUGAAUAAGGAUCGGCUAACUCCGUGCCAGCAGCAGC